UUGUGUGUACAUAAUGGACACCAAGCCAUGUGGAGGAUUACGUUACGGACGUCAUGCAAGAUUUUCGAGAUAACUUGUAGAUUUAAUCCAGCAGAGAUAAUGCUAUUACUGAAUAAAUGAUGGUCUGGUAGCGUAUGUAUUUUUAUUUAUGUGCUGUUAAUGGGCUUUAUCAAAUUAAGAAGAUUAUUAUUGAACAAGUUACAGGAACGACGGCGAGUGUGACAGCAGUAAACAUGUCCCGGAUUUUUAAGGUCAGAUCUUUACCAAUCUAAAUAACAAUCAGUGACGGUCACACAAUUUAAUUUAGCACAUGCAUAAAUUUUGCAAUAAUCAUUUCCAUAAUACAAAUUGACUUUCUCUAAAUUUCUAUGUGAUUUGUGGGGAGGACAUUCUACGAUUCGGCGUCUUUCUUGUGGCUGCACUACCUCCUCCGUCCCCUACAUAUCUGCAACAUUGCCAAAACCACAAAACCAUGUAGAAGCAGUACAUAUUAGGAAAACCUAAUGUGGCAGCAAUCCCUGUGUGAUGAUAAAUCCCUCUCUCUGGAGUCUUGGAUUAACCACCUUUUGUCUAUUUAUCCUCCUUCCUUCGUAGCA